rnacentral:rRNA from 1 species
UGGGGAAUAUUGGACAAUGGGGGGAACCCUGAUCCAGCCAUGCCGCGUGUGUGAAGAAGGCCUAAUGGUUGUAAAGCACUUUAAGCGAGGAGGAGGGUACUGGUAUUAAUACUACCAGGUACUGGACGUUACUCGCAGAAUAAGCACCGGCUAACUCUGUGCCAGCAGCCGCGGUAAUACAGAGGGUGCGAGCGUUAAUCGGAUUUACUGGGCGUAAAGCGUGCGUAGGCGGCUAAUUGAGUCGGAUGUGAAAUCCCCGAGCUUAACUUGGGAAUUGCAUUCGAUACUGGUUAGCUAGAGUGUGGGAGAGUAUGGUAGAAUUCCAGGUGUAGCGGUGAAAUGCGUAGAGAUCUGGAGGAAUACCGAUGGCGAAGGCAGCCAUCUGGCCUAACACUGACGCUGAGGUACGAAAGCAUGGGGAGCAAACAGG